rnacentral:rRNA from 1 species
AUGCAGUCGCGCGAAUCCCAGCAAUGGGGGAAGCGGCGUAAGGGGCAGUUAGGCGUGGGUAACCUACCCCGGGGCCUGGGAUAGCCCGUCGAGAGACGGGGUAAUACCGGGCGACGUGGUUCGGUGGCAUCGUCGGAUCACCAAAGGUCCGCCGCCCCGGGAGGGGCCCACGUGGUAUUAGCUAGUUGGUGGGGUAACGGCCCACCAAGGCGUAGAUGCCUAGCGGGUGUGAGAGCACGACCCGCGCCACUGGCACUGAGACACUGGCCAGACACCUACGGGUGGCUGCAGUCGAGGAUCUUCGGCAAUGGGGGCAACCCUGACCGAGCGACGCCGCGUGGAUGACGAAGGCCUUCGGGUUGUAAAAUCCUGUCGAGGGGGAGGAAAGGCAACUUGACCUAUCCCUGGAGGAAGCUCGGGCUAAGUUNNGUGNCAGCAGCCGCGGUAAGANCNAACCGAGCGAACGUUGUUCGGAAUCACUGGGG